rnacentral:rRNA from 1 species
GAUGAACGCUGGCGGCGUGCUUAACACAUGCAAGUCGAACGAACCUUCGGGUUAGUGGCGGACGGGUGAGUAACGCGUGGGAAUCUGCCCUCAGGAGGGGGAUAACGGUUGGAAACGACCGCUAAUACCCCAUAUGCCGAGAGGUGAAAUGAAUUUCGCCUGAGGAUGAGCCCGCGUCUGAUUAGCUAGUUGGUGGGGUAAUGGCCCACCAAGGCGACGAUCAGUAGCUGGUCUGAGAGGAUGAUCAGCCACACUGGGACUGAGACACGGCCCAGACUCCUACGGGAGGCAGCAGUGGGGAAUUUUCCGCAAUGGGCGAAAGCCUGACGGAGCAACGCCGCGUGAGGGAUGAAGGCCUCUGGGCUGUAAACCUCUUUUCUCAAGGAAGAAGACAUGACGGUACUUGAGGAAUAAGCCACGGCUAAUUCCGUGCCAGCAGCCGCGGUAAUACGGGAGUGGCAAGCGUUAUCCGGAAUUAUUGGGCGUAAAGCGUCCGCAGGCGGCCUUGUAAGUCUGUCGUUAAAGCGUGGAGCUUAACUCCAUUUCAGCGAUGGAAACUACAAGGCUUGAGUGUGGUAGGGGCAGAGGGAAUUCCCGGUGUAGCGGUGAAAUGCGUAGAUAUCGGGAAGAACACCAGUGGCGAAGGCGCUCUGCUGGGCCAUAACUGACGCUCAUGGACGAAAGCCAGGGGAGCGAAAGGGAUUAGAUACCCCUGUAGUCCUGGCCGUAAACGAUGAACACUAGGUGUCGGGGGAAUCGACCCCCUCGGUGUCGUAGCUAACGCGUUAAGUGUUCCGCCUGGGGAGUACGCACGCAAGUGUGAAACUCAAAGGAAUUGACGGGGGCCCGCACAAGCGGUGGAGUAUGUGGUUUAAUUCGAUGCAACGCGAAGAACCUUACCAGGGUUUGACAUCCUGCGAAUCCCUUGGAAACGAGGGAGUGCCUUCGGGAGCGCAGAGACAGGUGGUGCAUGGCUGUCGUCAGCUCGUGUCGUGAGAUGUUGGGUUAAGUCCCGCAACGAGCGCAACCCACGUCUUUAGUUGCCAGCAUUUAGUUGGGCACUCUAGAGAGACCGCCGGUGAUAAACCGGAGGAAGGUGUGGAUGACGUCAAGUCAUCAUGCCCCUUACAUCCUGGGCUACACACGUACUACAAUGCUACGGACAAAGGGUUGCAAGCUCGCGAGAGUUAGCUAAUCCCAUAAACCGUGGCUCAGUUCAGAUCGUAGGCUGCAACUCGCCUACGUGAAGGAGGAAUCGCUAGUAAUCGCAGGUCAGCAUACUGCGGUGAAUACGUUCCCGGGCCUUGUACACACCGCCCGUCACACCAUGGAAGUUGGCCAUGCCCGAAGUCGUUACUCCAACCCUUGUGGAGGAGGACGCCGAAGGUGGGGCUGAUGACUGGGGUGAAGUCGUAACAAGGUAGCCGUACCGGAAGGUGCGGCUGGAUCACCUCCUAA